GUUCUAGGGCGCAACUGGAGAUCCAGUGGUUAUUGGGCGACAAUGCUUUGUAAGGAACAUGAAGCUGCUGUGACAAUUAGUUCAUUGCUUGUGCAUUGCAUAGCAAAAAUAUGAUUGCUCUGCAUUCACCAUUGUUGAAGUCACUCUUCAAGCAUCAGGUUAGAAUUAACAAUAUCAAUGCUAUAUGCCUCUCAAAUUACGAAAAUAGCUUGGUAAAUGAAGGAAGUAAACUACUGGAAGACAAGAACAUCAGGAUAUUGCAUUUUACCCUCAAUGUUCUGUUAUUUCCACUGAUAGAAGGAAAAUUUUACUUGAUGCAUUAGUUUUUUCCCAUUUGAUUAAUGGAUAUCAUUGAGGUUGAUUCUCUAACCUUUAUGCUCUAAACUGUAUAAGAUAUACACUUUCUCCAAAGCAUUUUUUGUGUGUGCGCAUGUGUGCAUGCACGUGUAUUGAAA